UUUUUGGUAUAAGCCAUGUUAACAUAAAAAUCUUAAUAGCUACAUAUGUAACCAUACAUAACUGUCUCCUUAUGUUAAAUAGCAGGUCCUUCACAUCCCUUGUUGGCUGUGUUCCUAGGUAUUUUAUUCUCUUUGAAGAGAUUGUGAAUGGGAGUUCAUCCAUGAUUUGGCUCUCUGCUUGCCUUUGGUUAGUGUUUGCAGUGGCUGGUACGAGUUUUUCCUUUCCAUUUUUAGUGCUUCUUUUAGGAGCUCUUGCAGGGCAGGCCUGGUGGUAAUGAAAUCCCUCAGCAUUUGCUUGUCUGGAAAGGAUUUCAUUUCUCCUUUGCUUAUAAAGCUUAGUUUGGCUGGAUAUGAAAUUGAGGGUUGAAAAUUCUUUUCUUGAAGAAUGUUGAAUAUUGGCUCCCAAUCUCGGGAGUGAUUGAAUGAUAUUUGAAAUCCAUUCCAACUUUAAUAACAUUUGGGGAUGAAAAAUUUCACCAGUCAAAGCUUGUAGAGAGUUUCUAUGCAGAAGCAUGCCAUUAAUAAUCACUACCAUGUAAAAAUUACUGCUACUUUCUUAUUGCAAAUUAAGU
rnacentral:lncRNA from 10 species